AUCACGGUGCCAACUGUGGGCGGGGCAUUCAUCAGCUGACGGCAGCGUUUUAACAAUCAGCUUUUGUGUCCUGCUACCACAGAAUCGGGCGUGGAAGAUUCAGAAAAACUCAAUUUGGUGAGUCAGAAGAGGAAACUUACGAUAUGUAUGUGUGAAGUAACAUGGCCAGCUGGAAGAGUCAUGCGCGUGCUCAACUGCAACUCAGAGACCAAACCGAGAAACUUCCAUACGAGGGCGUGUAUACAAGCUUGUCUCAAUUGGAAGAACGCUUUGAAAUUCGCCGGCAGUUUUUAAAAGAUCUCCAGUCAGCAAGCUCAGAAGAUGGAAUAAAAGUUGGGGAGAAUGUCAGACUACUUCAACUUGGCCUCAGAGAAAGUGAGCAUCUUGCU